rnacentral:rRNA from 1 species
UACGGGGGGGCAAGCGUUGUUCGGAAUUACUGGGCGUAAAGGGCUCGUAGGCGGCCAACUAAGUCGGACGUGAAAUCCCCGGGCUUAACCUGGGAACUGCAUUUGUGACUGCACGGCUAGAGUGUGUCAGAGGGGGGUAGAAUUCCACGGUGUAGCAGUGAAAUGCGUAGAUAUGUGGAGGAAUACCGAUGGCGAAGGCAGCCCCCUGGGAUAACACUGACGCUCAUGCACGAAAGCGUGGGGAGCAAACAGG